rnacentral:rRNA from 1 species
UACGUAGGAGGCGAGCGUUGUCCGGAGUUACUGGGCGUAAAGGGUGCGCAGGCGGCUUGUUAAGUGGAUGGUGAAAUCUCCCGGCUUACCUGGGAGGGUGCCGUCCAAACUGGGAAGCUUGAGGCUCGGCGGGGGGCGUGGAAUUCCGGGUGGAGCGGUGAAAUGCGUAGAGAUCCGGAGGAACACCGACGGCGUAGGCAGCGCCCUGGACGAGACCUGACGCUCAGGCACGAAAGCUGGGGGAGCAAGCAGG